UACAGAGGGGGGCGAGCGUUGUUCGGAAUUACUGGGCGUAAAGGGCGCGUAGGCGGCCAACUAAGUCAGACGUGAAAUCCCUCGGCUCAACCGGGGAACUGCGUCUGAUACUGGAUGGCUUGAAUUCGGGAGAGGGAUGCGGAAUUCCAGGUGUAGCGGUGGAAUGCGUAGAGAUCCGGAAGAACACCGGUGGCGAAGGCGGCUCGCUGGGGUCUUGCUGACGCUGAGGCGCGACAGCGUGGGGAGCAAACAGG
rnacentral:rRNA from 1 species